ACCAAACUAGGUUUAGACAUGAAAAUUCAAUGAAAUAUAUAAUCCUAGCUUGGAUCCUGGUACAAGAAAAUCCUCCUUGGAGAAGCGGUUGGUUCCUGGCUUCCAGCAGGGAAAACACAAGAUCAGCCUGGAUUAUCUUUUGGUGCCAAAAAUAAAUGCUCCAAAAAGGAUGGGGACAUGUCAAAAGGGCAUAGGAAUCAACACGAAAGAGCUUUCAACAGCCAAAGCUGAGAUUUUUGAGCAGUAAAAUAAUAAUAAUGUAUUAUAACCCAUAGAAUUAGUAAAUAUCCAUGAGUUCAUACUGAUAAAUCUAAAUAGUUGAAUAAAUAAAUAAAUGCGAGGGAAAGAAUAGCUCUUCCUUUCAAAAUAAUUUCAACUGACAAAUGUAGAAGAAUGAGGGAAAUAGAAAAUUAUCAUUAGUACACCACAGCAACAAUUACUUGCUAAAAUUAAUAGGCAAAAGUUUGAGGAGAAACUGCUUAUUUUCAUUGCCUGAAAGAGUCUCCCCCAAGAUCUUUAUUAGUUACAAAGGGGAAAACAGUAACGUUAUAGGGGGGAAACUGCUGACAUCACCUGAGCCAAGGUAGCACUGUUAGCAAUAGAUACAUGCAAUGUAUAUUAUUAGUAUCAUGUAUCCCUUGAUGUUCUGCACUGAGAAGGAUACAUCAGUUCUGUGGUAUUCUUGCUAAAAUACAUGACCUUCAUCCAGUCAUGAGAGGACACAUCAAGAAAAUCAAACAGAGAUAAUCUACAAAGUAACUGACCAGGACUCUUUCAAGGUCAUAAAAGACAAGGAGUCACAGAACACUUACAGAUUGGAGGAGACGAGGGACACAGAAAAACUAAAUGCACUACGGACUAGAUCCUGGAGCAUUAAAAGGAUAUCCGUGGAAGAGCUGGUGAAAUCCAAGUGCGUUCCGUAGUUCAGCCUUUGACAUCUUCAGCGUCGGAGCUGGGAGAGGGACAAGAGGUAAGAAUCAGCAAAGCACUAAUCUGACAGGAAACCAUUCCCCAUGGAGGACUCCUUCCCAAGAUGGCUCUUGGCCAGCUCUCUUCCGUUCUCUCGGAGGCAUUCACAUUGCUGCUCAUUCCAAGGUGUAAGAGCAGAAGGACCCCAGAAAGGAUUUUGCCUGCUGGACCAGGCCUACAUGUUCCGGUGUCCUUCUCUUCUCACCGUGCAACAACAAAAUACGUUUAAAAGCUGGUUUCCAAAGUCUAUUUUUACCAGGAUCUUAGAGCUGCCCUGUGAGUUCUUCUUUCAAUGCAACCUUCCCUCUCCAAACCGAGUAGCAUCAGCAAACCUAGCUGUGUGAGGCAAGGGCAAUGUUGGCAUCAUAAUGAAGAUUCCCGGGAGAAGAUAUACUGAGCAGAGUGUCCCUCUCUUGCUUCGUCUCACUGGAGGUUUAUAAGAGUCCCUUCUGGGGAAACUGGUGGACAGGAUGAAGUGAGUUCUGGGACACCCAGGGCUCCCGACAGUCAGGGCCUGUGGCAGGGCUGUGAAUGCGCAGGGAAGGUGCUGUCUGACAGGAAUGUACCCACAUUGUGAGCAGCUCAGUGUUGUCUGCUUCUCCUUUGCCAUAUCCCGUCUCUCGUGUCCGAGAAUAGGACAGAACAGGAUACAUCUGCAGAUCCGGAUGAGUGCCUUCAGCCGAUCGGGCAGCGAAGAACAGACAAUCAGGUGGAUACUUCUCCAGUGCAUGGUUGAGACAUGCCAAGUUCAGGUCUUAUUCUAGGCUGGCCAACCCCUGCAGAUUCUGUUUUCCAAUUAAAUAUAUCGGAAAUGGCAAUGAUGAUCUUGUGAGAACAGCCCUGAGCAUGUUGAGUCGCACUGCCCUUCUCUCCCCGCCCUCAAUCUUCUCCUGCUAAUGGCCUUCUGGAUCAAUCUAGAGGUUUCUUAAGAAAAGAGUAAGAAAGAAAGAAAGAAAGGAAAUGUCCCUUCCUCAAAUAAAACUUGGGUGAAGCCCUAUGUUAAAAGGCUCUGGCCCUCAAGGGGACAGCAGCACAUUAAAGCCACAAGAGACACCGGAACGGUCCAUGGGAGUAGUGGUGCCCAAAACCAAUCUCCCCUUUUUGCUAUUGACCGCUUGUUUCCUCUGGAACUGAACAAAUAAAGGCAAUGUAAACCUGAUUGCUUUAUUUUCCCUCUUCAAUAAUAACGAAUUUCUAUUUUCUCAAUAGGAUAGCAUUGUAGGAUGUUAUAGAGAAGGAGUGGUUGGAGGAAAUUUCAGACAGAGUUGGAAAAUAAAGAUAAACUCUACUGUGCCUGGGGUUUAAGGCCAAGACAGAAUCAUCCCUUUGUUUCCUUCUUGUUUGCCUUUAAUCCAUAAUAACACUCGCGAGGUGAGAGAUAUAAACACAGAGCAGGCUCUCAGAGAAUUAGUUCUGUUUGUAUGGAGAAAUCUGAAAAGCUCCAUUCAUUUCUAGCAGGAGAACAGCAGAGCCAAUGCAAGGAAAGCUUGGCUCUUCCAUUUGGAAUGUGCAACUCAAGGUUGUUUUCCAUUCAGUGCCACAAUUGCAAGGGGCCAGAGGGUUUUGGCAAGGUAAAUGCACGUCUCGGACCUUGGAAAAGACUCCUGAACUUAUCCUAGGCUAAAACAGUAGUAGCAACGUGAAAAAGGAUUUUGUGUUUUUGUUUUUGUUUUUUGAAGUAGUUUGAAGGUAAUGUAUCCCCCCACUUAGUGCUGGGAAAGUAGGAAAUUAAUUCCACUAGUUUCUAGUUUUAGUUGGAGGAUGUGGGUUGACUGUACCAUCUGCAAGAAUAUAUUUCGUGGAACUGGUGAAGAAUGCUAAAAGUUACAUGAAAGGGGAUUCUCACAGAACAGGUUAAAAGAAGUUAAUCGCCAAGUUUAAUUAACAAUGAUAUUGAAUUAACUAGAACAUUCCACUCCUUAGCUAUGAUAGUUAGUGGGCUAUUUAUUAUAUUACUUUGGUCAAAUGUAGCUCAUACUCAGUUUUGUCAUUAAAUAGCAAAAGCAUUAUUUCUUGGUAACUAUCAUCUUAAUUCUAGAGAAAAAUAUGCGCUUUAAACCACAAGAGGGCAGCAGCAUUACUUUCUUAAUCAAAUGCAUCUUUGGAAACUCAAUCCUGGGUCUAAAACCAUAAUUACGGUGUAAUAAUUACAUGCCUUUCUCCAAAUGACUAUUAAUUCUGAUGGUAUUUCAUGAGUAAAGUUAUUUUUAAAGUGUCUGUGACUAGGGUUCUUUACAAAUGAGAAUGCUUUCAAGACAAGCACAAUAAGAUAAUUUUAGCGAGUGAAUUAAAGUGCCUCACGAGGGUGAAUUUACAAAAGUACUUUAAAUUUUGGUUUUAAAAAUAGCACCAUUAAAAUUAUGCAGGUAUAUCUUUUCAUAAAUAUGCAAGGGUAUAAAAAGAAAACACGCAUAUUUGGCAAUGGCUAAAGCUUGUCAUGGUUUAGUUGUAUGUAUUUUUAUAAUUAGACAUCUAGAACUAAAAUAAGAAAACCAGGUAGCAUAAAAAUUCACAAUGAAUAGCCCCAAUUUAAUGCAAAAAAAAAAAUAAUUGGGCAUUUUUCUGCUGCUGAAUCUACUUUUUUUUUUCCCAUUUUUAAGAUGCAAUAAAAUUUCAAUAAUUUUAUUUAGCCACCAGGUGGUGCUGUGUAUUUAAACAACGAAGUAGAUGAAAAGAGAAAAUUGAAGAUCUGAGAAAUAUCAUACCUCUUUGACACCUAUUUACAUAUUCACCAGAUUUUUUGACAAGGAUGGAGUUCCUUUGAUUUCUGUAAGGGAGGCUUUUGAGAAAAUGUUUUACAAAAAUGCACUGUCUGGAGCAAAUAGUUCAGAAAACUACAUGAAGUUCAGGAAAUUCAUUUAAUGGUAAAACUGAAACAUGGACACUGACCUUUUCACAAACAACAACAAAAAAACAAACAAAAAAACCAAGAGUCUCUUCUAACGAAAUCUCACUCCAUGGAAGCUACUUAUUUUUGCUCAUGAAAUUGUUCCUUUU